rnacentral:rRNA from 1 species
GGAGGGCUAAUACCGCAUAACACCUCGGAACACAAGUUCUGGGGUUGAAAAGAGCAAUUUGCUCGAAGAGGGGUCCGCGCCUGAUUAGCUAGUUGGUGAGGUAACGGCUCACCAAGGCUUCGAUCAGUAGCCGUCCUGAGAGGGAGCACGGCCACACUGGAACUGAGACACGGUCCAGACUCCUACGGGAGGCAGCAGUGGGGAAUUUUUGGCAAUGGGCGAAAGCCUGACCAAGCAACGCCGCGUGGGUGAUGAAGUAUCUUGGUACGUAAAACCCUUUCGGCAGGGACGAACCUAAUGACGGUACCUGCGAAGAGAC